rnacentral:rRNA from 1 species
UACGUAGGGGGCUAGCGUUGUCCGGAAUCAUUGGGCGUAAAGAGCGUGUAGGCGGUCCGGUAAGUCCGUUGUGAAAGUCAGGGGCUCAACCCUUGAAUGCCGGCGGAUACUGUCGGGCUAGAGUCCGGAAGAGGCAAGUGGAAUUCCCGGUGUAGCGGUGAAAUGCGUAGAUAUCUGGAGGAACACCGGUGGCGAAGGCGGCAUUCUGGACCGACAUUGACGCUGAGGAGCGAAAGCCAGGGGAGCAAACGGG